rnacentral:rRNA from 1 species
CCUACGGGAGGCAGCAGUGAGGAAUAUUGGUCAAUGGCCGGAAGGCUGAACCAGCCAAGCCGCGUGAAGGACGAAGGUGCCAAGCAUUGUAAACUUCUUUUGUCAAGGGACACAAUCAGGCUCGAGAGCCUGACCGUGGGUACUUGAAGAAAAAGCAUCGGCUAACCACGUGCCAGCAGCCGCGGUAAUACGGAGGAUGCGAGCGUUAUCCGGAUUUAUUGGGUUUAAAGUGUGCGUAGGCGGGCUGUUAAGUCAGCGGUAAAACCCCGGGGCUCAACCCCGGCGAGCCGUUGAAACUGGCUGUCUUGAGAUGUCGAGAGGUAUGCGGAAUGCGCAGUGGAGCGGUGAAAUGCUUAGAUAUUGCGCAGAACUCCGAUUGCGAAGGCAGCAUACCGGCGGCGAUCUGACGCUGAGGCACGAAAGCGUGGGUAUCGAACAGGAUUAGAUACCCCAGUAGUC